GCGGCCGUUUUGCAGAAAACACAAACAGAGGAAGGGCGCCCGCUUUGCAGAAAAACGCAAAUAAGGAACAUUGAGACAAGUGGAGCAACAAUUUGACGGAGCUUACGGCGGCAACUGCUGGAUGUUUUGGUGAGGCGGCGGAUAUCCUUAGCGGUUUGGAUCCUCAAAUUAGGAGAAAUCUCCAUUGCUCGAAUUUUAGAGAGAGAGAACGCGGCGGCGCUAAAAAGGAUGAUCGUUAUUUCGGCGUGACGGCGACAGUGAUAUCAUUGUCGAAGUUUUCAGUUUCUCUAAUUAGUUACAAGAGGUAUGUAUCAAUGAACAUGGCUUUGUGCAUCAACCAUGACACUGCAUCAGGAACAGAAAGGCAACAUCAACAACCAAAACUGAGCUAAAGCAGGCUGGCUUAAUUUGAAAAAGUUUGACCUAAUUUUUAUUGUAAUUUAAUUUGGUUUUAUUUUUGGUUGUAAUUUGAUUGUAAUAUGAAAUUGUAAUUUGAUUUAAUUUUAGAAUUGUCAUUGUAAACUGAUUUGGUAUUGUAAAUUGAUGAGCCUAAUCAUUGUAAUUAUUUUAUUUCCCUUUUUAA